rnacentral:rRNA from 1 species
CCUACGGGAGGCAGCAGUGGGGAAUAUUGCACAAUGGGCGAAAGCCUGAUGCAGCGACGCCGCGUGAGGGAUGACGGCCUUCGGGUUGUAAACCUCUUUCAGCAGGGAAGAAGCGAAAGUGACGGUACCUGCAGAAGAAGCGCCGGCUAACUACGUGCCAGCAGCCGCGGUAAUACGUAGGGCGCAAGCGUUGUCCGGAAUUAUUGGGCGUAAAGAGCUCGUAGGCGGCUUGUCACGUCGGGUGUGAAAGCCCGGGGCUUAACCCCGGGUCUGCAUUCGAUACGGGCUAGCUAGAGUGUGGUAGGGGAGAUCGGAAUUCCUGGUGUAGCGGUGAAAUGCGCAGAUAUCAGGAGGAACACCGGUGGCGAAGGCGGAUCUCUGGGCCAUUACUGACGCUGGGGAGCGAAAGCGUGGGGAGCGAACAGGAUUAGAUACCCUGGUAGUCCACGCCGUAAACGGUGGGAACUAGGUGUUGGCGACAUUCCACGUCGUCGGUGCCGCAGCUAACGCAUUAAGUUCCCCGCCUGGGGAGUACGGCCGCAAGGCUAAAACUCAAAUGAAUUGACGG